GUGUUGAAGGGAAGCGCUUGCAGCCAGACUUGCUUGCAGUUGCUCAUCCGGGCUUUUGCCCGGUGCACUCUUCUGCAGGCAGGCCAGCAUCAGUUUGGGCGGUGGGAUAAAGGUCUCUGUCACGUACCUCUCUUCGGGGAGGCCUUAUAGGGGAGACGACAUACCACCAGCCUGGACUGAGGUCCGCGCAUCUGCUAGGAUGCUGGCGUAAUGGCUGUAAGCGGCCCGUCUUGAAACACGGACCAAGGAGUCUAACAUCUAUGCGAGUGUUUGGGUGUCAAGCCCGAGCGCGUAAUGAAAGUGAACGGAGGUGGGAACCCGCAAGGGCGCACCAUCGACCGAUCCUGAAGUUUACGGAAGGAUUUGAGUAAGAGCAUGGCUGUUGGGACCCGAAAGAUGGUGAACUAUGCUUGAAUAGGGUGAAGCCAGAGGAAACUCUGGUGGAGGCUCGCAGCGGUUCUGACGUGCAAAUCGAUCGUCAAAUUUGGG
rnacentral:rRNA from 1 species